UUGUCCUACGGGACGCAGCAGUGGGGAAUAUUGCACAAUGGGGGAAACCCUGAUGCAGCGACGCCGCGUGAGUGAAGAAGUAAUUCGUUAUGUAAAGCUCUAUCAGCAGGGAAGAAAAUGACGGUACCUGAGUAAGAAGCCCCGGCUAACUACGUGCCAGCAGCCGCGGUAAUACGUAGGGGGCAAGCGUUAUCCGGAUUUACUGGGUGUAAAGGGAGCGUAGACGGAAAGGCAAGUCAGAAGUGAAAGCCCAAGGCUCAACCAUGGGACUGCUUUUGAAACUGUCAAACUAGAGUACGGGAGAG
rnacentral:rRNA from 1 species